AUUGAACGCUGGCGGCAUGCCUUACACAUGCAAGUCGAACGGCAGCGGACCUUCGGGUGCCGGCGAGUGGCGAACGGGUGAGUAAUAUAUCGGAACGUACCUUUCAGUGGGGGAUAACGUAGCGAAAGUUACGCUAAUACCGCAUAUUCUGUGAGCAGGAAAGCAGGGGAUCGCAAGACCUUGCGCUGAUUGAGCGGCCGAUAUCAGAUUAGCUAGUUGGUGAGGUAAAGGCUCACCAAGGCGACGAUCCGUAGCUGGUCUGAGAGGAUGAUCCGCCACACUGGAACUGAGACACGGUCCAGACUCCUACGGGAGGCAGCAGUGGGGAAUUUUGGACAAUGGGCGCAAGCCUGAUCCAGCCAUGCCGCGUGAGUGAAGAAGGCCUCGGUUGUAA
rnacentral:rRNA from 1 species